rnacentral:rRNA from 1 species
UACAGAGGGGGCAAGCGUUGUUCGGAAUUACUGGGCGUAAAGGGCGCGUAGGCGGCCCGCUAAGUCGAACGUGAAAUCCCCGGGCUCAACCCGGGAACUGCGUCCGAGACUGGCAGGCUCGAAUCCGGGAGAGGGAUGUGGAAUUCCAGGUGUAGCGGUGAAAUGCGUAGAUAUCUGGAGGAACAUCGGUGGCGAAGGCGGCAUCCUGGACCGGUAUUGACGCUGAGGCGCGAAAGCCAGGGGAGCAACGGG